AGAGUUUGAUCCUGGCUCAGGACGAACGCUGGCGGUGUGCUUAACACAUGCAAGUCGAACGGUAAGGCCCUUUCGGGGGUACACGAGUGGCGAACGGGUGAGUAACACGUGAGUAACCUGCCCUCAUCUCUGGGAUAACAGUCGGAAACGGUUGCUAAUACUGGAUAUGAGCUUGCAAGGCAUCUUGUGGGUUGGAAAGAUAUUUUUUUGGUUGGGGAUGGACUCGCGGCCUAUCAGCUUGUUGGUGAGGUAGUGGCUCACCAAGGCUUCGACGGGUAGCCGGCCUGAGAGGGCGACCGGCCACAUUGGGACUGAGAUACGGCCCAAACUCCUACGGGAGGCAGCAGUGGGGAAUAUUGCACAAUGGACGGAAGUCUGAUGCAGCAACGCCGCGUGCGGGAUGACGGCCUUCGGGUUGUAAACCGCUUUCAAUUGUGACGAAGCUUUUUGUGACGGUAGCAGUAGAAGAAGCACCGGCUAACUACGUGCCAGCAGCCGCGGUGAUACGUAGGGUGCGAGCGUUGUCCGGAUUUAUUGGGCGUAAAGAGCUUGUAGGCGGUUUGUCGCGUCGGGAGUGAAAACUUGGGGCUUAACCCUGAGCUUGCUUUCGAUACGGGCUGACUUGAGGGAGGUAGGGGAGAAUGGAAUUCCUGGUGGAGCGGUGGAAUGCGCAGAUAUCAGGAGGAACACCGGUGGCGAAGGCGGUUCUCUGGACCUUUCCUGACGCUGAGAAGCGAAAGCGUGGGGAGCGAACAGGCUUAGAUACCCUGGUAGUCCACGCCGUAAACGGUGGGUACUAGGUGUGGGGGACAUUCCACGUUCUCCGUGCCGUAGCUAACGCAUUAAGUACCCCGCCUGGGGAGUACGGCCGCAAGGCUAAAACUCAAAGGAAUUGACGGGGCCCCGCACAAGCGGCGGAGCAUGCGGAUUAAUUCGAUGCAACGCGAAGAACCUUA
rnacentral:rRNA from 1 species